UGGGGAAUAUUGGACAAUGGGCGGAAGCCUGAUCCAGCCAUGCCGCGUGUGUGAAGAAGGUCUUCGGAUUGUAAAGCACUUUAAGUUGGGAGGAAGGGCAGUAAGCGAAUACCUUGCUGUUUUGACGUUACCGACAGAAUAAGCACCGGCUAACUCUGUGCCAGCAGCCGCGGUAAUACAGAGGGUGCAAGCGUUAAUCGGAAUUACUGGGCGUAAAGCGCGCGUAGGUGGUUCGUUAAGUUGAAUGUGAAAGCCCCGGGCUCAACCUGGGAACUGCAUCAAAAACUGGCGAGCUAGAGUAGGGCAGAGGGUGGUGGAAUUUCCUGUGUAGCGGUGAAAUGCGUAGAUAUAGGAAGGAACACCAGUGGCGAAGGCGACCACCUGGGCUCAUACUGACACUGAGGUGCGAAAGCGUGGGGAGCAAACAGG
rnacentral:rRNA from 1 species